rnacentral:lncRNA from 1 species
CCUGGAUGUAAGACAUGGAGUCAAAGGAGAUUAUUUGGAACUCUAUGGUUUAAUGACUGCCCUGUUGGAUUUUGAAUUUGCUUGGGGGCUGUAGCUCCUUAGUUUGGCUAAUUUCACCCACUUGUAAUUGAUAUAUUUACACUGGAUUCCAUCUUGCUUUUUAUUUUCCAGGCUCAUAGGUGGAAGGGGCUUGCCUUAUCUCAGAACUCUGCCCUUGUGACCUUGGAAGGAAAUAAUACUAUUUUAUCCAGAAGUAUACUACUUUAACAUAUUUCAAGAUGGUUGUUCAGAGGGCAUGCAAACAGAAGUAACCCUGCUAAGCUAUCUUUUGAGGGGAAGAUUUGCAUCUGUAGAGAAUCUGCAUUGAUGCAGACAGGCUUUCUCUGAAAGCCUCCCUCAUCUGGAUCUAGGGAAGUUUAACUGAGAGUCUGUCAUCUUUAAAGGUCUGAGGAAACAUUUAUCAUCUAUUUUCUCUGAGAGCUGCUACCUGUGAGAUUUCAUUCGUGUACCAAAACAACUUUUGCCAGCCAGGCACACAAGACCACCUUUGCUAGUCAGGCCUCCUCUUCUCCUCUUUUUAUAAUCUGCUUUGCCACUAUAACCUGUUAUGCAUGAUCCAAAUCCACAUUCUUUCUGUAACCUCAAGAUGGUAUGUGAGCUUCUGAACCUCAAGUGAGGAGAGUGUGGAGUGAGGACAGUGAGGUAAUCAUUCUGUGAUUCUUUCUUAU